CAGUGGGCGGAGUUAACAUGUUACUAUUGCGUAGUGAAAUCUAGGACACUUGUGUAUUAAACGUUUCAUUAAUUAUAUACCUAAUACGGUUAGCAUAACCGCACAAAAAUGUUAUCAUGCUUUGACCCAACUAGCAUGAUUAUUUAGACGGUGUCGAAAAUUGUUGAACGGUUCGGGCUUUCGCCCUCACCGUUCAACAAUUUUCGACACCGUCUAAAUAACCAUGUUAG
rnacentral:lncRNA from 1 species